UUUUGGCACCUGCGUCCUCGGCUGC
rnacentral:miRNA from 1 species